AGUGAAUAGAUACCCGGGUAGUCCUAGCCGUAAACGAUACUCGCUAGGUGUCGGCCACGGUGCGACCGUUGCCGGUGCCGUAGGGAAAGCCGUGAAGCGAGCCACCUGGGAAGUACGGCCGCAAGGCUGAAACUUAAAGGAAUUGGCGGGGGAGCACCACAACGGGUGGAGCUUGCGGUUUAAUUGGAUUCAACGCCGGAAAUCUUACCGGGACCGACAGCAAUAUGAAGGCCAGGCUGAAGACUUUGCCGGAUUAGCUGAGAGGUGGUGCAUGGCCGUCGUCAGUUCGUACUGUGAAAGCAUCCUGUUAAGUCAGGCAACGAGCGAGACCCACGCCCACAGUUGCCAGCGUACUCUCCGGAGUGACGGGUACACUGUGGGGACCGCCGCUGCUAAAGCGGAGGAAGGAAUGGGCAACGGUAGGUCAGUAUGCCCCGAAUAUCCCGGGCUACACGCGAGCUACAAUGGUUGGUACAAUGGGUAUCUACCCCGAAAGGGGAUGGAAAUCUCCUAAAGCCAAUCUUAGUUCGGAUUGAGGGCUGCAACUCGCCCUC
rnacentral:rRNA from 1 species